rnacentral:rRNA from 1 species
UACGUAGGGGGCAAGCGUUGUCCGGAAUUAUUGGGCGUAAAGAGCUCGUAGGCGGUCUGUUACGUCCGCUGUGAAAACCCAGGGCUUAACCCUGGGCUUGCAGUGGAUACGGGUAGACUAGAGGCAGGUAGGGGAGAAUGGAAUUCCCGGUGUAGCGGUGAAAUGCGCAGAUAUCGGGAGGAACACCUGUGGCGAAGGCGGCCCCCUGGUUGGAUACUGACGCUGAUACGCGAAAGCGUGGGGAGCAAACAGG